ensembl:lincRNA
GUUCUGUUUUCUAGAGUCAGACCUCUGACUCUGAAGACUGUCAGAGAACAUUCUGUGACUGGAAACCACAGUUGCCAUUAUGGCAACCACAAGGAAGAAAUAGGGUGUCACUGCCCCCAGGAAACAUAUUCCCAUCACACCUCACAGGAGAUCACACCAAGGAGGAUGGCAGCUCUUUUCCUAAACAAAUUGUGGAUUAAGGCAGUAACCAAAAUCAAGCACACAGAUAAUUUAGAAAGCCAUGGCAAUAAUAAUACUACGUGGCAACAUAUAUGGGUGCUGCUAUGCCUUAUCCCAACAUCAGUACAUGGAAUUUCUCCUGACUCUAUGCUGGAGCCCAGUGUGUGUGCAUCUCUCUUUGACAUAGAAAUGACUUACAUCCCACCUUCAGCCUUUCAGACAAGCCACCUUUACAGAUCACAGCACAUCGAGAUGCCUUUACCACCGUGGGGUCCGUUUUCACCCCUGGUACUAGAGAUUUCCUUUCUCGUUAUGGUGCUCCAAAAGGUGGUAAACAACUCCCUGCUGAGUGGUAAACAAACCUCAGGGCUAGGCAGGACCUCUGGGAGUAGCAGCGGCCACAGUUAUAAAAAGAAGCCUAAACUCUUAAAGGGAUGAAGAACCUUUAAAGGAAGUAGAGAGCAAAGCCUUGAAGUUUUUCUACCGUUUCACCAUUUGUACUAAAGGUGGCUGAAAAGAAGUCAAUAAGAGAGAAAGAUAGCUCCAGGCAAUGGAACAUGGAGAAGAGCCAUUCAAAGCCUGAUCUUCAAAAAUAUUUUCUUUGAAAGAAAUAACAAAGCCCUAAGUCAAAUAUUAUUUUACUGGCAACCACCACAUUUUCUGCUAUUGUAAUAAUACUUUCACAUAUUUCUAUGGUGCCUUGAAGUUUACAAAGCUCGUUCCCAUAUAGUAUUUCAUUUGAUGAUCCCAACAUGCCCCAAACUGCCUUUGCAGCCUUCUCUCCAUUUUUACCUCGACCCAGCUCAGGGUCCCUACCAGACACUAUAUACUACUGGCUUUGAAAUUUUUGCUAUGCUCCUUCUCUUCAUACACUUUAAAUUUCCUCCUCAGGUUGGCAUAUCCAAAUCCUGUGUGGCAUCUAAGACCAAACUCAAAAUAUUGCUUCCCCUGAAAAGCUUUCCCUGACUACCCAUCUGGAGAAAUCUUACCUUCCUUUGUACACUAUGACAAUCAAUGCCCACGCAUGUCACUCAGUAAUAGCCAUGUUCUGUGUCUCAUUAGAACCAUUCUGUUAUUAUAGUUGUGAAGUCCCCUAUUACUUAAUUUUUUCCCCACUUGAUCUUGACUCUUUAACUAAACUAUAAAUCUCGUGAAAUCAGGUGUGAGAAACUGAGCAAGUAAUUUUGAACAAACUGGGCCUGAUGGAUUAUGUUUGCUCAACUGUAUAGUUAGUCAAGAUUUCUCCCUUCAUGCCUAAGGAAUGGAAAAUGGAGUGAAUUCAUGGGCAGUUGGUCCAUGAAGGGAGCAGGGAUCAAAUGAGAGUUUGUGCAUUCCACAUCUGGUACCCUACUUAAUUAUAAGUUUCUUAGAGGUAGAGACCUUGUCCUAUUAAUAGAAUGCAUUCCAAUAAAUUAAAGCCGAAAUAGGAGAAUUAAAGUAAGAAGAAGGUCAACCAGUAAUUAAGAAACCAAAAUAGAUGGUGGAGUAUGUUAAGAGUAAAUACUAGGAAGAUAGGACUAAGUGGCCAAGGGUGAGAAAUUUUGGAAACUAAAAAAUGUAAUCCUAUGGCAGGACAACUCAUAAAUGCUUACAUCAAAUCUCCAAACAGAUAGCUUAAGACCUAAGUGGAAGAACCCCGAGAUCUAAGAGUAAAUUCAAUGACAGAGGGUUAGGAUAGGAGGGUUUAUAGGGCUUCCAUCCAAGAUUACUUGUUAAAGGUCAUGAAACAGAAUGGGCUAGGAAUCAGAUUCUAUGUCUUUUAUUAACUGGAAUUCACAGCAGAGUGAACUGCAUACAGCAAGGGCUCAAUAAAUACACAUUCAAUUGGGCUAUGGAGACAUAUAUGCUAUUUGUGUGUGUGUGUGUGUGUGUGUGUGUAAUAUAUAUAUAUAUAUGUAUAU